AAAGUGCCAUAAUAGUUUAAGUUGUUGCAAUAAAUAAGAUUUGAAUCACAUAAUUCAUAUGCACCAAUUACUUGGGGAGAAACUUGUUAAGGAACGACAUUCUGAUAGGUGACGAGAAUGGGAGCAUGAACCGAUGAAAACUGAGAUCCACUGGUUUAGUUAUUUAAAAGAAGAGAAGAAGCUUUUUCAGUCUUAGCGUUUAAGCAUGCCUUCAUAGUGUAAUUGGAAGCAUAUCCGACUAGCAAUCAGAAGAUCCGGAGUUCGAGGGCAUUGCACAUUUUUCACGUCUCCUGCUCCUAAAUGACUUUGCAGUGAGUUUGACUUUGCAAUAUAUACGCGGGACUUUCAGAACUUACGCAUGAAGCAGUAACUCGUUGAUUUCUCCUGUGAUUUCUACCAAAAUAUUCUGAAUCAUUUUCAGCUGUCACCGUGUUGAGGGGAUCUUUUGUUAUGUUUCCACCCGAGCAGCUUGAUGGCCACGCCCCUGAAAUAUGACGUCACACCAUCAUAUUGCUCACAGCGGGAAUCGCAGAAUACAACCUGAAAUUCGUAUGACAGAGAUGGAGUAGAAAACAAGCCUUCCUUAUUCUAAAUCUGUAAACUACAUAUAUAAAGCCUUCCAAUAUGUGUAUAUGGAGAGCUUAACAGUCGCUCAUGUUCCCGGAAGCUCCAGUAUUUCACUAGUCCAUAUCUAGCUCCAGUGCUUAUCACGCAUUCUAUCAGGGACAGUUCAGUAAAAUGUGGAACCCGUAUUUUCCUCGCACCCUUCACAAUCCUUAAACUAUUCGCUCGUUCGACAAUCAUACCCCUUUCCCAACAACUUUUGAAAAGGAUUGAAACACAUUAGUUUAUAUGUCAUUUUACCGAAGACUGCACUUGGGAGCCUUCAUUCCAGGAAAUUAUGAAACAACGAUACUUCCAUCUGCGGUAUUACCUGGCAGAUAUGCUAACUUUCCCAGAAAAUCGGAUGCCCCAGUGCCGUAUAGAAACGUAUACUAGAAGGUAUAAAGGUGUAAUGCCCAUAGCCCGAGAAGGAGAAGGAAAAGCUUGGCCAGCAGAAUAAUUAGUCCGACGGAGCCAUCCGUGGCGGGCGCCGAGUGGUUUUUGGAAGGAAAUAAUGAAAAACAUGAAAAAAAAAGAGAGAUAGGACAAAAGGAGACAAUGAGGGCAAGGGGACUUUGUCUCCUUUCGGACCGUCCGACAUCCGAAAGGAUGUCGGACGGGACGGUUCGAUUUUUUGUGGCUGAAGGGCCGUCGCCAUUUUUCUGGUUAUGCAGAGAUUGUUUUCUCAUCCGGCGGAGACCAAUGCCGGACAUACCUAUUCAUGCUUCUACCUAUAAUGUGUAAUAAUCAAGAAUUGUUUACUUAUUAAAGUUUAAUGUUAAACAAACAA